ACUGUCUGUACUCAUAUUUUUUCUCCUAAUUGAUGCUUAUAAUAAUUUUGCAAGUUGGAAAAGUGCAGUUUUAAUUUCAUUUGCACCAAGUUUAAUAGAUUAAUUAGAGAAAUUGUUCCCUUUAAAAUUCAUUCUUCCUAUCCAACUACAAGUUUUAACUGUGGUGUUGUUACCUGUUGUAAGAAGUGAGAUCUUUUAGAUGCUUCACUGCCAGAAAUUUCCAUGUUCAUCUAAAUUAUUGUUCUUGGUUAACGUUUCUAUGGACUCCAUUCUUCAAAAGCGCUGCAUCUUUCACUAGCAAAGACUAAAGAGAACUUGUGUGAAGUCUCUCCAUCUGUACUCUCCCAGGUGGUAACAAUGUGGACAAGAGGAUCACACACACCUGCGGUGGUCCCAUCUACAGCAUCACACAAAUGGUGUGGUUAUUCCUCCCUUCUAGGAUCUUAUUGCAUUUUUGUAUCUUAAAGGGCAUCACUUUUAUGUGAGUAACGCCAGGAAGAGAAGUGUCCUGCUUUUUUGCAAAUAAUUGCCUUGAAUGCUGUUGAGACUUUAACUGGACUGCUCUGGAACUCUCUGAUUGUCAGUUAUUCAGGUGACUUUGGUGGCAUGUCUCUGUGGCCUUGGUAUAUUUUGUGCCCUUCUCUGGUGUUGCAUUUACCUCACUGUACUUUAUUUGUUUUUACAAAUGGAAAUGAGAGUUGUGUAUAGUAAAUGAAAUUAAUUUAACCCAAUGAAUACCUUGCUCAUGCCCCAGAUGACAGCCAGGGUUUCUCACAAGUCGUGUGCCUUUCGUAUGUCAGUUUUGGUACCAUUUGCAAAAUACAUUGCUUCUUAUUUGAGUUAUGAGCCCACAUUUUGCAGAGAGGUACCAAAUAAGAUCCUCUUAAACAUAUGUAUUAUUGAAUUUAGAAGUUUCACUCUCAUGCAGUAGCUGGGGAAAGCUGUAGUUCACCUAUUUCCCAAUGCCCAAACGUAAGACUUGGAUUCCCCAUCACAAUUGUGGUUGUGUCAAAAGAGAGGAAUAGCUCUGUGUGACAUUUUGAGUCAUGGUGACACCAUCAUGUACAGCACGUGCUCCGAUCAUUUUCUUCGUAUCACUGGGAUUUUUCUGGAAUAAAAGCUGAAGGCAUGAAGGAUAUUCCUCUUCUACAUUACCCUGGUUUUUGUUUUUUUUUCCUGCUUAACCUAAGUAGGGUAAAAAUAGAGAACUGUUUUUACUUGAGUUUUAAUUGUCUAUUUCUGGAUGAUACACUGCACUGUUACUCAUGGAAGUAAUAACUACUUUGCUCAGCCUAUUUCAUCUGCUGGGUUUGUGCAGGGAGCAUCACAUCUAUACCUGUAUAGUACAGUGACAGCAAUAAAAACAACUGUCAAGAAUUUCAAGACCUUAUUAUCUUUUCCCUUUAAAGUCAGUCACUUUUACUAACAGAAGAUUUAGUGUUUUAAAAAUUACAUAAAUGUGUACAUACAUGAUGUCUCCUUUCUCAUCUUUUUCUGCUCAUGCCAGCUGGGUGCUGAGGUAGAACUUAGUUCCUCUUGAAAUAACCACUUAUUUUACUCCCAGAGAAGAUUGUUUUGUACUUUCAUAGUUAAUCUAAUCUAUCUCAGAAUAUUUUGUUGUGCUGAUCAUUUCCUAAGUUCAAAAUGAUCUUUAGGACAUAAAAAUACCAAUGUCCCAAUUCUAAACAUUUAAGUUACAUAUGACACAAGUUAGUACCCAGACAAUAUAGUUUUUUAUAGUCUAUGCCAGGAGUUAGCAAACUUGUCUGUAAAGGGCCUCACUUUACAGAUCAUGCUGUUAAAGCUACUCAUCUGUGUCAUUGUAUUUCUGAGAGCAGCCAUAGCCGGAUGCAUGAAGUAAUGAGUAUGUCUGUAUUCUAGGAAAACUUUGUUUACAAAAAAAAAAAAAAUGUGGUUGGCUGGAGUUAGACUGUAUGUGGUAGUUUGUCAACUCCUGGCCUAAAGCAUAGGUCUUUUGAUAUUCUGAGGAAGGUGGCUAGAUGUAGGAAACCAAAAGAGAGAAUGUCUUUUCUUCCCAUGCCCUUUUUGAGUCAUAAGUGUACAAAAUAUGAAGAUAAGUAAUAAAUGGGAAAAAUCUGCACUUAAGCCUUUGAAUUCUUGGCUCUGAAAGCUAGGUUGAGUGUCUCUUUGUAAACGUUUUUUUGUUUUUACUUUUAAUUUCCUUGUCAUUUAUGCUGGACCUAGUACACUGAAGUAAGGCCACGAAGAAUGGGUCAUUAAACAAUAUAAAGCUAAGUGGUCAUUCCUCUGCCAUCUUCCAUCCCUACUUGCUAGUAGUGACAAGAGUUGACCACUUUUGUUGUUGUGGCCAAUAACUUUCCUAAGUUGAUAUAA